UGCUUGCCAAAGCUACUCAACAAAACUCAUGUAGGAGAGAUGUUUUAUCAAACAGUUCAAAGACGUUGAAAGUACUAUUUCAGAACCUCAAAAUUUUCCCAUGCAAAACAAAGGAGUGAAAUAAUAAAAUCCGCCAAAAACUGAUUCAAAGAAUAAUUGCUUUCAUUGAAAAUGUUCCAUUGAGAAUAGAGAACAGAAGGGGUGUGGAAAGCUAACAUUCAAUUCUGUUGUUCAUGAAUGAGAAGAGAGACAUUUAUACUAUUUAGCAAAACAGCAUAUGGAAGUUGCAUCUGCAAGUUAUUUUUUGGGUUAUGGGAGGUAGAAUGUUGUACAAAUAAAUUAUUUUACUGAUUUUAAAACUCAAUCAAAAAAACAUUUGUUUCAGGAAAUGUUUUACAUCUAAACAAGUAGAGCGUGGUGUUUCAAGAUUUUUCUUGGUUGCCAGUUGAAGGAAUUUCCAUUUAACAAAGCAAAUGCUUUUGCUAGCCUCGAACAAUCAUAGUUGUGUCAUGAUCAUUGUUUUUUUUCUCUUCUUCUAUGUUCUAUAUGAACUCUCUCUUGAAUGGAAAGAUACUCCAUGUGCCGUGGAAAUACUAGCCUUUCAGCACAUCAUCGGCUCAUCACAAUUUCACUCGUUGAUGCCUUUUAAGGUUUUUCUCACUUGGUUGUACUCCUCUUUUGGAGACAAAUCGUUUAAAAUUCACAAUACAUAAAAAGGGAGACAAAUGUGCCUUUGAUAGAGUCGAGGUUGACAAUGAAAUUAUGUAUACAAAAGGGCUUCAGAAAAAUAGACACUGAUCACUGGGAAUUUGCGAACGAUCAAUUUGUCAAAGGCCAAAAGCAGUUGUUGAACAAUAUCUGUAGAAGGAAACAGUCUCAGGUCAUGGCUCAGCGGAAAUCAUCUCAGCAAAAGGACAAGAGUGUUGGAGCAUGUGAGAAAUCGUCUGAGCAUAAGGACAAGAGUGUUGAAGCACAUGAAGAAGACAAGUAUGUCAGGUUGUGGAAAGAAGUUGAGAGUCUCAAGACUGGUAAGAACGCUCUCAUGCAGGAGCUCAUUAAGCUCAGGCAGCACCAGCAGACCUCACAGAGCAAGCUGGUAGUCCUUGGAGAACAACUUAAAGGUAUGGAAAAAAAUCAACAGCAAAUGCUCUCAUUUAUAGUGAUGGCCAUGCAAAGUCCUGGGCUUUUGAUUAAGCUGCUUCAGCCAAAAGAAAAUAAUUGGCGAAUGGCUGAAUCAAACAUGAGUGUACUCAAGCGAGUUACGGAUGAUCACGUAACAGUUCCUUCUGAUGGAACAAUAGUGAGGUAUCAGCCGCCAAUGGAUCAAUCUCCCGAACCACUAUGCACGCCAACUUUAGAUUCAGAAACAUCAUUGGAAUCAGAGCUUUCUUCCGAUGAACUGAGAGAUUUUUUUAUGAAUAUUGAUUUCCCCUCAGGACUGUUGGAUGAAAAAUUACUUUCGUCGGAAAGUCACGGGCCGAUUUCUCUUCCAUAUCUGUCUGAUGACGACUCUAUUUUGGAACAGCUUCUUUUGUCUAGUCCAUUGACAGAGAAUAAGGAAGAAGAUGAGCAUGACAAUGCAGAACUUGAUUCUGGAAUGGAAAUUGAAGAGAUGGAAAGAAUGGUGUUUGGGACUCAACAGGGUGAAAACCAAAAUUUGGAAAUUCUAACUGAUCAAAUGGGACUUCUAGCUUCUGAAUGCGACCUCCAAACACCAUAACGUGUUUUACUUUGACAGUGAAGAAUAUUAGGAAAGUUUCUGAAGCUUUUUGGUACUUCUAUAGCCACUAUGGCACAACUCAUAAUCGAAAAAAACAUAUUUUGACUGCAUGACCAUGGCUUUAUGCGAUUGUUAUCAGAUUGAAUUUCAGAUAAAAGCGCGUGGCGGGAUUCUCUCUCUUACAUUUGUUUUUGGGGAACAGCAUGGUAGUAAGUUUUCAUUUUUCUUUUGUGAUUUGUAAUUUCUCUACAGCUCUUUGAAGAAACUGAAUUAAAGGAAGGAGUUCUAAAUGCUCUUUGUAAUUUCCCUUUUUUCCUUCGAGAAAAAAAAAUGUUGCUAUAUCAGUUGGAUAGUUCCUCAGUAUUAUGGAACUUACGGUACAUAUAUACAUGUUCUAUGGUUGUUUAGACAGACCUUCUCAACAGUUGUUCCCAUAUGCCAAGUACAAUUGAAUUCGUUUUGGGUAAA